CGCCCUCUGGCGGCGUGCUUAACACAUGCAAGUCGAACGGAAAGGCCCUGCUUUUGUGGGGUGCUCGAGUGGCGAACGGGUGAGUAACACGUGAGUAACCUGCCCUUGACUUUGGGAUAACUUCAGGAAACUGGGGCUAAUACCGGAUAGGAGCUCCUGCUGCAUGGUGGGGGUUGGAAAGUUUCGGCGGUUGGGGAUGGACUCGCGGCUUAUCAGCUUGUUGGUGGGGUAGUGGCUUACCAAGGCUUUGACGGGUAGCCGGCCUGAGAGGGUGACCGGCCACAUUGGGACUGAGAUACGGCCCAGACUCCUACGGGAGGCAGCAGUGGGGAAUAUUGCACAAUGGGCGGAAGCCUGAUGCAGCAACGCCGCGUGCGGGAUGACGGCCUUCGGGUUGUAAACCGCUUUCGCCUGUGACGAAGCGUGAGUGACGGUAAUGGGUAAAGAAGCACCGGCUAACUACGUG
rnacentral:rRNA from 1 species